rnacentral:rRNA from 1 species
GAAUGAAUGGUUUAACUAAAUACUCAUGUCUUAUUAUUAUAUUUCAAAUUUUAUAUUUUAGUAAAAAAGCUAAAAUUAACAUUAAAGACAAGAAGACCCUAUUAAGCUUUAUAAUUACAAUUUAAUAUCAACAUAAACUAAAAAUUAUUUUACUGGGGCAGUAAAUAAAAAAAAUUUUAUUUUAAUAGUAUGAAUACAAUUCUCGAAAAAUCAAAAAAUUUUUAAAAAGGAAUAAGUUACUAUAGGGAUAACAGCAUUAUUUUCUUAAAGAGUUCUUAUCAUCAAGAAAGUUUGUGACCUCGAUGUUGGAUUAAGAUACCUUUUUCAUGCA